AUUGAACGCUGGCGGCAGGCCUAACACAUGCAAGUCGAACGAGUGGCGGACGGGUGAGUAAUGUCUGGGAAACUGCCCGAUGGAGGGGGAUAACUACUGGAAACGGUAGAUAAUACCGCAUACAAUCGGAUGGGCCCAGAUGGGAUUAGCUAGUAGGUGGGGUAACGGCGCACCUAGGCGACGAGCCCUAGCUGGUCUGAGAGGAUGACCAGCCACACUGGAACUGAGACACGGUCCAGACGCCUACGGGAGGCAGCAGUGGGGAAUAUUGCACAAUGGGCGCAAGCCUGAUACAGCCAUGCCGCGUGUAUGAAGAAGGCCUUCGGGUUGUAAAGUACUUUCAGCGAGGAGGCGUUACUCGCAGAAGAAGCACCGGCUAACUCCGUGCCAGCAGCCGCGGUAAUAC
rnacentral:rRNA from 1 species